UGGGGAAUAUUGGACAAUGGGCGAAAGCCUGAUCCAGCCAUGCCGCGUGUGUGAAGAAGGUCUUCGGAUUGUAAAGCACUUUAAGUUGGGAGGAAGGGCAGUAAGCGAAUACCUUGCCGUCUUGACGUUACUGACAGAAUAAGCACCGGCUAACUCUGUGCCAGUAGCCGCGGUAAUACAGAGGGUGCAAGCGUUAUUCGGAAUUACUGGGCGUAAAGCGCGCGUAGGUGGUUCGUUAAGUUGAAUGUGAAAGCACCGGGCUCAACCAGGGAACUGCAUCCGAAACUGGCGGGCUAGAGUAGGGCAGGGGGUGGAGGAAUUUCCUGUGUAGCGGUGAAAUGCGUAGAUAUAGGGAGGAACACCAGUGGCGAAGGCGACCACCUGGGCUCAUACUGACACUGAGGUGCGAAAGCGUGGGGAGCAAAAAGG
rnacentral:rRNA from 1 species